GACGAACGCUGGCGGCGCGCCUAACACAUGCAAGUCGAACGGAGCUUAGAGAGUUUGCUUUUUAAGCUUAGUGGCGAACGGGUGAGUAACGCGUGAGUAACCUGCCCUAGAGUGGGGACAACAGUUGGAAACGACUGCUAAUACCGCAUAAGCCCACGGUACCGCAUGGUACUGAGGGAAAAGGAUUUAUUCGCUUUAGGAUGGACUCGCGUCCAAUUAGCUAGUUGGUGAGGUAACGGCCCACCAAGGCGACGAUUGGUAGCCGGACUGAGAGGUUGAACGGCCACAUUUGGGACUGAGGCACGGCCCAGACUCCUACGGGAGGCAGCAGUGGGGAAUAUUGCACAAUGGAGGAAACUCUGAUGCAGCGACGCCGCGUGAGUGAAGAAGUAAUUCGUUAUGUAAAGCUCUAUCAGCAGGGAAGAUAGUGACGGUACCUGACUAAGAAGCUCCGGCUAAAUACGUG
rnacentral:rRNA from 1 species